rnacentral:lncRNA from 1 species
AGGUUUAGCACUGGAGGGAGCAGAGUUUCUCCAGAUAGAGAUGGCACUUCUCUUGAGCUGCUACUGGUCAUCAGAAACGAUUGGUACCAAAGUGGUGUGAGCUCAGCAGUGCAAGUCCUGCUGCAGAGAGCCAUCCCCAAGCCCUGCAGCUGCUCCAUAAAUAGGUUGGACAUUUGGUGUCGUAAUUCCAGCAGUGCUCAGCAUUGGCUCAGCUCUGCCUUAUUCAAAGUCAGCGGGAACUGCUGACUGUGAGCCAGCACGGCUCUUACAGCCUUUUUCUCUCACUAAUUACUUCUGGCUGCCGUGGAAGCCCCAAGGACUUCAAAGGGACGACACUGGAUUUGCACGAACUAUCUCUCUGGAUCUUCCAUCCCUGUUUCUCAGCCCUUGGUGGUCUAUAAGGCUUCAGAAGGGGACCCACUAAACAACUGCAGAAAACAUUAAAACUUAUUGCACGUUCCCACAAAUGCACAUUCCCACACACACAAAGGCAAGGAAAAUGGAGAGAAAUCAAAGGGCAAGAGGAACAAUGGAAACACAACUUUUUUUUUUUAACUUUUUUUUUUUCUUUGGGGCUGUAAAUGAAGAGGCAUGUGCAGAAGAUAGUUUCUUUUUGCUCUCCAGAAGGUGAAAUGGUUCUUGAGUAAAAUGAGUAAAGGAGCGCAGCCUGCCCUGUGCCAGCAGCACCAGGGGAUGCUGCAGAGGUGGUCCAAAUCCCUGGGCACCAUUGGAUGUCUUUAGUAACGUGCAGGACUGGAGAUCGCUCCAAGCAGACUUUUUGUUGCUUAAAACUAUUAACUCAUCUUCAAAGAACUCUGCGUGUGUCACACCUGAGUGAUUGCAUCGCUGGCACUUAGCCACUCUGUCCCUGGGGCCCCACUCUGAAGCAAAGCAGAGAUGGGCUGCCUUGGCUUUGCUGGGGACGUGCUCUGUGUCCUGCCGGGAAACACAGCACUAAAACCACAGCAAGAAUAAUGGAAUCACAGAAUCAUUCUGGUUGGAAAAGACCUCGCAGAUCCCCAAGUCCAACCCCAACCCACCCCGCCGUGCCCACUGUCCACAUCCCUCAAUGCCACAAACCCACAGUUCUGGAUCACCUCCACGGAUGGUGACUCCACCACCCUCCUGGGCAGCUGUGCCAGUGCUUGACCAAACCUUUUUGGGCCCCAGAUGAGCUUCUGCCCUGUACUCAGAGGAAGCAGGGUGGUGACAGCAUUGUGAUACGCAGUGGCCCCAUGAAUCCUCAUUGUAGAUAGUGGAGACUUUUUUUUUCGUUAGUAGUGCAUUUCUCACCUUCUCUGUGCCUCUUUGGGUGUAAAAUGGGUAUAAUUAACCCUUCCCCGUGUGGAGAUGCAUUAUGUGCAUCUUUUCAUAAGGCAGAGAAGUUUCAUAGCCAGUCAAUGAGCUGAUGGGACGGCUCCAGACAAAGCAAACAAAUGGCAGCAUCAGAUUUCAGACAGAUUCAAGAGGCUUCAGACAGACUUUUCUCCAGCUUACACCCACUGGAUGCUGGGUUUGCUCUAUUUGCUCCACUCCCAAUUUUCUCCCCUUUCAAUGAAUGGGAAAAAAACAACCUGAAUUUUCCACUAAGCCGUUAAGAAAGCAGAGGUUUCACAACAGUCAGGCUGAUCUGCCCACGCUCAUUUGAACAGGCUUUUAGGAACCUUUAGAGACUGGCAAUUCGGGUGGUAAACCCUCUUUAUGACCUGUUAUUACCCGUGCUCUGCUCAGAGGCAGCAGAACUCAUUACGGGCGUAAAUGGCCGGAGUGCUCCUGCAUACCAGCACAGGCUGCCUUUAAUGAUCUCCCUUUUCCUGCUUCUCCCUGAUAAAAAUACCUUACUGGUUAAAAAAAAAAAACCCAACAACCAGAGACCACAGAGCUAGCUGCCAGUUCGCCUCGUGGCUCCCGUUCCUGAGGUUUUAUUUUGCUGCACUUAGUUUUCAGGAAGUCGGCCAGUGUGGCACACUUUGUGUUUUUUUAUUUAACUGCGCAUUAAAUGUUCCCCUUUGCCCCAUGUUUUAUUAGGGAGACGUUAAAGAGAGCCUUGCAAAGCUGGAAACACGGAAGGAAAACAAACAGCCCCAGGACCAGCCCUGUUACAGCAGCCCACUUCUUCAGGCUUGAUGUAACUCUGUCCAUUACAGUUGGCAUAGGGCACGGGAAUAGCAGGCCUCCCUCCAGUAGGAAAUGAGGGAGAAACUAAGGCAGGAAGAGAUCCCAUUUUGUUAUCCCAGCUCCCAUACUCACAGCUGGUUGGGUGUCUGUGCAAGCUGAUCACAUCUGGUGAUGGAGAUCCUCAACAGCCACACACAACCUCUCCCUAUUGCAAAUUUACACUCAAAUAGAAGAUAUUUGGUAUCUCUACCAAGCAGAAUUCCCAAGGCCCAUGGACUCCCAGCCAGCUCUCUCAGCCAUGUUGUGUCACUCCAGAGAAGCUUGAGAACCUUACCCCCGUUAACCUUCAGAGCAUGUCUCCAUACCUACCUGUGCUGGAGUUUCUCAGCAGAAGCACAAGUUGUAGAGGUUGCAUGUAGUCAAUACCGAGAGCACCAUCUGGUGGGCUGCAGGGCUGGAUAACGCAGAGCUGGGGACAGGUUUUGGGAUGCAGAACAGCCCAGAUGAGCGUCUGGUGGGAGGCAUCAAGGAACUGAGGUCCCCCUGGUCUGGCUUCCCCCAGGCACCAAGUGGCAGCCUCAGGGAGAAGGUGGAAAGAAGCCCAUGGCAGGGCUUAGCAAAGCAAGUUUCUGUCUUCAGACAGAUGGAGCUUGAUGUGCUCCAAGAACCGUGAGCCAGAUUGCCCCCAGAAAUGCCUGGAGAAAUCCAUACAUUUGCUCUACUGAACCAAGAUUUAAAAUGCAACUUCAAAAAAGUAGACAAGCCCAAUUGCAUGCCGUGGGCCAUGUUUAAACAUCAAUCUUUUUGUGGGCCCUUUGGCAUAACCUUGGAACACUCGAGCGCUUUAGCUUUUCUUGGCAGCCUGGGCUUUCCCCAGGAUGACGAUCCUCCUUUGAGCUGUAUGAAAGCCCAUUCAGACACAUUAGAUAUGUUCCUGAGCAUUGCAGCUCCAUUGCCUGCCCUGUUUGAGGCUGCCCAUGGGGCUGGCAGAGACAUCCCUCAAUUACCACACUCAGAACAACUUGGGGAGAACUCCACCAGGCCUUUUUUGUGCUGUCACACUAUGAAUAACAGCAGAUAUUGCUCCAUGUGAGCUGUUAGGAAAUGUCUUCUGAGGUGCUUGUGCAACCCGACACAGUCGAGGGCCUCAGCUUGUGGGUGCUGCCAUAUGAGGGAUGCAAUAGC